UACCCUGCGCGGUGCCGGCUCGGGAGGGCCAGGUCCGAUCCCCGAUCCCCCAUCCCCGCAGCGAGGGAGCGCGAAGGUUUGGACCUUUCAUACUUCGAUAGGAUCCUGAGAUCCAGCCACCCACACCUUAACUUCAGCUCGUGAGGCGCUCAGCAGAGAACCUAGCUACAUCGUGCCCAGAUUUAAGGCCUACACACCUGUGAGCUGAUCCACACCAUGAUGCCCCCGAGAUGAAAGGCCUGGUCCAGCGUCACCCUGCAUGUCAUCAGCAGAGUGCAGGGCGAGAGGCUGGACCAGCGCGGGACCUGGAGCUGCCCCCUCCCGACCCAGAGGUGCUGAGACCCGAAGAGAGCUUGGACCUGCCCAUGGCCUGUGACCAUCCAGACGUUUGUAGGCCCAGUGGUGCCUGGUUCUUUAAUAGACUCAUUGGCAUCCUAAUACUUGCCUCAGCCUCACCAGAAGUUUUCCUAAACAGACACACAGAU